GCCUACACCCCCACCCCCAUCCCCAGAAGGGGAGCUUGGAGAGGAAAGCUUUCUGUUUCAUUUUUAUAACAUUCAUUGUACUCAGAACUUAAUCCACCUUCUCCAAGUGAAGACCUGCAUAAUGUCAAAAUUUGGACCCGAGGGAAAAGGAAUGUCCAAAGAAAUCAAAAUGAGAGGUUUGGAAGCCCCACACCACCCUUGGAAUUAAGAAAAGAUGCUGGAAAUAGGGUAGAGAGCUUCUUGGAAGGAAAGCGCAAGGUCAGAAGGAGACUUAAAGCAACCACAAUCUCCAUGAAGCAGAAGUAAACUUACCUGCAUAGGGGAUGGUGACAGGAAGCAGGAGGAGGUGCAGCAGGACAUGCUGCAGCAACAGGACCGGCAGAAGUUUGGUCCCCCACAUCAUGCUUGCAGUUCGAGCAGGCUGAUCCCUCUGCAGGAGAUGCCGGGCUGAAAGAAUCCUGUUGCAAGCCGGUCGGUUCUGAGCUGCUUUUAUUGCGAUGAGCUAAGUUUGUUGUGUGAUUAACUGGAAAGAUCUAGGACUAAACUCCCUCUUACGGUAAGAAACUGUUUAACAACAGCCCUUUACUCUCUUCCAGCCCCUUCCUUUCCUUAACCCCCCCCCAACAAGCAACAGAUCCCAGCUCUCCCCACUCCACUCACUCCCCCUCCCAGAAAGAAACUUACAAAGCAAAGGUCACCUGGCCCGAGGCCAGCUGCAAUUUAGAAGCCUGAGCUCCAGAUCCUUGUGGCUCCUAUCCGAGUAGGGAAGGGAGGAGCAAGACUCAGCCCAAUCGCUAAGUCAAGGCACAGGCUGAACACCAAUUCGCCCCGUUUGAACAGGAAAAUGCAUGUGUUUACAUAUCUAUCUGGGAAAAGAGGAAGGGGAAGCAGCAUAAGAGGAGAGCGGAGCAGCCCUUCUGCCAAAUGAGCCCCAGCUCCUAGUCUGCGAGCUUGCAGUGUUGGAGAGAUUCGGGGAUGAACACUGACCCCAGUUCCCGGGAUUUUAAGGAAAGUAAGAGAAGAGAAAGGGAGUCAGGGGGGCAGAACCCAGGUGAAAGAGGGCAGGUAAGAAAAGGGUGUGGCCUUGAGGGAUGAGAAGAAAUAGCAACAGAAACAAAACACUCAGGGUUUCAGGCCAGAAAAUUGCCCUGUCCAGUGGACUUUCCUCAGAAGAGCUAUCCCCAAACCACUGCAAAAGGAUCCCAAAUACAUUUUUCAAAUGUCUGUUUUCUGAUGUAUCUGUUGAUAAUUUCCCUUAAACCAUCUAAGGGACAGACAUGGCCCGUUUCUUAUCCCUGACAAGCAAACAGAUACUGGUUUUUCUAACCUUGUACACAAUCACAUAUGUCCACAUGUCAGUAUGUAUGCAUGAAGAAUUUCACUAGAGACCCAUUGGGCUAUUUUAAUUCCUAAGUAAGGUCUCAACCUCUUUCCUCCUACACACACCCACAGCACCACGGUCUUCGGGGAGGGAGGGGGCAGAGGGGCUCUGAUCCCUGAGUAUCACGUUUUGGUGAGAUCAUUGCCCAGACUUCUCCUUUUAUUACAACACGAGGAGGGUGCUCUGAUGUGUCAGAGAACAGAGUACAGUGUUUCUGAGAUGGAUACUCAGAAGAACGAAUACCUCUUUAGAGAAAGAGAAAGUCAACAGAAUGUGAGACCUUCUCUGGAGUAGCCUGCAACCCUACAGAGGCUCCCUCACCAACUCCCCCAUGACUUUGGCCACACCCUCCCUCAGGAAAUUUGUUGCAGAAUUUGUGGUGAGACUACAAUACAGUCUCCAGGAAAAUGACAGGAAGAGUUGGAGUACAUCAUCAAAGCUUUCAUUGUCAUAACAAAAACACCAUAGAUAAACGACUUCUGGUGUUUGUUUUGAUUGGUAAUUUUGAACCUUCCAGUUCACUGACAGGACGGGCACCAUUGCUUUGUUCCUAAAAGCCAUGGAACACAUUGAAGAGGAGAGCAUGUCAAAAGCAAAGAAGAGUCAGGCCCCAUGACUCCCUCCAUCAAAGGAGACAUUCCCAGGGAACUAAAGACAUUGUACUACACUUCUAAAGAUUCUACCAUCCCUCCAAAGCACUGGCCUGGUGAUAGAAUUUUUAACAUAAGCCUUUUAGGGUAUAUUUGGGAACCAAACUCCAGCACCUUUGCAACCAGGUGUGUCCAUCCCAUGAGGUAUUUACAUCAAAGAAAAUGUCCCAGCCAUGUUCAGAGAAAUGUGUGAUGGCAGAGGGAUCAAGUCAAAGUGACUGGCUUUAAAGAUCUAUUAAGAUAGUCACAGACUGAAUGCUGUCGGCUUAUGAAGACUAGAAACGAGUAUGAAAUUCUCCCUUGGAUCCUCCAGGAAUGAAUUCUCUCUGGAAAUCACGUUGUCUUCACCCUGGUAAAAAUGAUGUCAGAUUUAAAAACUUAAAAUUUCAAAGAUGAUGUAGUUGUGUUCCUUUUAGGCACCAAAUUUGUUGUAAUCUGUACCCACAACAUUGGAAAUGUAACGUGUAGGCCGUACCUCCCUGAGUGGUCCAUCUGUUUGAAACUUUUCAGAUUUUAAGCUACUUCUAUGCUGUGCACUUAGUGUUAAAUGUAGUCUUGAUUGAGUGAUUGCUCUACCAAGGAAGCUCCUUCUAAAGAAAUGAUUUGUCCUCAUUAGGUUCUGAUGGCAAUCUUUGCCUCCCAGCAGUCUCUUCCUUGCCUGUGCAAUGAUGCAUUAACCGCUCUCUGAGAGAAAUGUGUUGCAAUGUGCUGUUUAUUCAAGAGAUCUGGAGAAAGCCCCAAAAUUACACUUGACUUUGCAAGAAGAUUAGCAAACAAUAGCGCUAUUUUGAAAGACAGAGAUCUGUAUCAUUGAAAAGGGAAGUUGCAAAACUAACUUGUCCUUUAUCUAUUGAGAUUCCUUAGGAAGGAGGAAUUUACAACUUGUAUUAUCCUAGCUGGAGACACUUUUAUGCUGCUGGCAUUUGUCCAGUACAAGUUUAUCUGAUACCCUAAGGCUUCACAGAGCCUCCUUUGGGAUGUAGUUCCAAAGUGCUUGUGCAAAAUGUAAUAGAAAAGUUGAUGUAGCAGAGAAAGGAAAAAAACCCCACAUCAUUUAUUUAAAAAGAACAGAGAACAGAAAAACUGGUUUUAGAAAAUGGAUAAAGUCUGGUGUAAAGUAAGUAAUUGAACGUAUUUUCCCCUCCCCUUUCUUAUUGCCCACUUACUAUGCCUUCAAUGACUAUUGUAUUUAUAUAUCUUAUUACGAACAUAAAUUAUAUCCUAAAACAAUCUCCAAUUUUUGCACCUGCCUGGAAAUGACAAUUGUAUUUACUGUGUACUCUCUAUGUACUAAUAGAUAUGAAGUCAUUUAAAGACUUAGGAGACAUUCAAAGAAGAAAUUAUGUUCUAGGAGUAAGUCAUGUUAACAAUAACCUGAGUGUAGUUUUUAAAGUUUAUAUGCAAUAUAUAUACAUAUGUACAUAUUAUCAUUUCAAGUUUUUUUUAAAUUUUGUAUUUCUAUUUUCUGAACUGCACUGUAAUGAUUUAACUGAUGAGUAAUUAUAGCUCAGUGUGUAUUUCCUUUUUUUCUUCAACUUUCUUAGAAUUCAAGCAUUGUCAGUCAACAAUAGCCAAAUAUCCAUAUUUUUCCAGUUAUUUAUAUUUAUACUGUUUUCCAUAGCUAAAAAUAUCAUUUUCACUCAUGUAAGAAAUAUGUAUGCAAAAUUCUUGGGCUAUCUCUCAUAGUAAGUUUUGGGGAAUAUUUAGUUGAAUCAACUCUAGACCAUAAAUAAAAAUAUCCUCAAUUCCAUUUCUACUCUGAGCCCAUUGUGUAUCUCACGCUUUCUGAUAUGGUUUUACUCUCUGUAACAAGGCUUGAGUGAUCCUGCUAUUUCCAUCUCAACAGGUGAGUGUUGACUUUGACUAAAAACAGCAAAUCUUAGAUUAUAAUGCAAAUAAAGUUAGAUAAAAGGUCAAAUGUCCAAGCUAUGAACCUGUAAAGAAAGGGGAAAAAAAUAGCACAGCGUCUUAGAGAUGGAAAGCAGGGGAUCUCUUCAGUUCCAAACUAGAACUGAAAGUAGAAAUGUGUCCAUUGACAAUAAGAAGUUUCCCUCUCUUAGCUGGUUACUUAUCUUAGUCAUUACUGUGGUUGCCAAACCGCUCACAUCAUUCUAUGUCACUUUGAGGUUUUCUCAAGAACUCUGUAAAUGAUUAAACACAUUUCUUAGAUAUUAAAAUUAAAUAUUGAUUGUAGCCUCCGAGUUAAUCCAUUGCUUUUGACAACACCUUCAACCAUCAUAGUCAUUCUCUCUCUCCCAUUUCUUCUUCACAGCCAAAAUACAAUUCAUUAUCAUUUCAUACAAUUUUGUGUGCUCUUGACUUGUUGAACCAUUAGAAAAUCCUCCCUCAUGUUGAUCUCAAAUUCCACCAUAAUUCUGCCUCCCAAAAUCAAUCAAACAAUAAACCUAUUCCCAAUUAUUUAAGGUGAUCAUAAGUUAUAGGAUGUACACAACAGCAGUCCUGUAACUAUUCAUUAUUAGCCCAGUGCUGGGGAGGGAAAGACAGGUGAAUCUCUGAGUCUUGCUGGACAAUCUGUCUGGCUGCACCAAAGAGCUCCAGGUUUGGUAAGAAACCCUAUCUCAAAAAAAUUAAGUGAUGAAGGAUUAAGGACUUUGACUUUAGACUUACACACACACACACACACACACACACACUGACAUAAUACACACUUGUGUAAACAUGUACACCUACAGACAGGCAGAAUAGAACUUACUUUGUCUCUGUAUGGACUCAAAACCAUACUGGUGUCAAUUAGAUUCAAUGCUGACCCUAUUAUCUACUGGCAAGCUAUUAUAUAUCAAGAACAAUGGAAAGACCAUUGUAAUAACAAUGUAUUGUUUUAUCCCCAUAACAAUGAACUAUGCACUGUUGCUGGUGCAGCGCACUAUUUCCAUCCAAAUGCAAUCAUCUCACCUCCGAAUUUUGCCACUGCAGUCUCUUGGUCUCUCACUACUACUUUCUCAGCAGCUUCGUGACCCUCCUUCUACCUACUUGGUGGAUAUUUAUGAGUAAUAAAGUAUAAAUGUGCACAAAUAUAUUUUACAGCAGUAUUAAAACUGUGUAGUAAAACCAUUCCCACAUAAUAAAUCCUCAGAAAUGCAAUAAUUUUACGGUGUAAUUUUUCCAUGUAAUCUUUUCUUUAACUCGUACUUACAAGGUUAUGUCAGCUCAUAGAUUUACAUGUGAUUCAGUUACGAAGCUAUAACAGGUAAAUACUUAAUCAUACAUAUUUUGGCUGUUCAUCCAAGAUGAACUGUACAAUAAUUCAGAAAAGAUACAUAUCGUUAAGAGUUUUUUGAAAUAUGAAAACGAAGGAAAGAACACUACAAAGGCAUACAUGAAGAAAAAUCUUUGAAAUAUUUAUCCACAUUCAAAACCAGAGACUCUUGUUUUUCAACAGGAAUACAAUUCAAUUGCAAUAGCAUUAGGAGCAAAAAAUAACUGUACAGGAAUGUGUUUUAAAUUACCGAAGUGACACCUUACACUCUUUUCAUAUCAGGUUCAGGACCCCCCUGUUCUUCAUAGUUCACAAAUAUAUAAACAGACCUGUCAGACCUCGCCAAAUUUAUUAACAUUUGGCAGGUUGCCUCUGCAAAGGCAAAAGAAGAAAGAAGAAAGAAAAAAAACCCUCCUUUAGAAGGAAGUUUAAAAUGAGUAAGAAAAAUAACCACUUAAAUUCAACCGGCCCAAAGCAGGUUGCACUUACUGGCGAAACCGUACAUUUCUUAAUUUUUAUCUAUCAUAAAUGUGUAAAGACAAAGAAGCAAAAUGACUUUCAAACACACCCGCCUCCUUCCUCUCUUGCCUCCUGCCUGUCUUAUCUCCUGACUCUUAACCGGAGAAAACAAUAGGUAAAUCUUUGCCAUUCAAAUGAACAAGAGACAAAACGUCACUCCACAAUGAAACUGCCACACACCCUAAUGCUCUGUAUUAGUUUCUACCUCUGUCAUUUUUAUCAGUUCCAAGAUUCAAAGGCUUGGUAUACUAAUAUUAGGCAAAUGUUGUACUACUGACCUAUGCACCCAGCCCUUACAGCUUGAAAUAAUAUGGUAGUUUGUAAAUAAUUCUUUGGUCAUAUUGCUCCAGAUAAUAAUACUAGAUG